GGUUCACGAUCAUGAUUUAGUAGUUCGAAAUGUGUUGUUAUGCUAACAGAUCGUGGGAAUUGCGCUUUCUCUGCGAGCAGUUACCACACUGAAAAUCGACUUUCUCGAGAAACUGUUGACUCCAGAAAAGCUUUACGUGAUGCAGUUAUUAUACAAGACGGCAGAGUGGGUGCACAGUUUGCUGGACUUAAAACAGGAAUGACUUGUUCUGAACACUCAUUCUGAACACUCUAACUACAAUCUGUUCCUCUCUUUAUAUCAAGGAAUAUGAACAAUCCAGGACAUGUUCUAAUUUAUAUGGUCAAUAUUGAUUGGUGAAUAGAGUUUUA